GUGCUUGCUAUUGCUGCACGUUUAUUAAAAUUGGAUCGAUGCAGAGGAGAUAAAUAUGGCCCCUGUGAAAGGAUGAUACGAAAAUCCGUGAAGCGCUCCAUAUUUUU
ensembl:snRNA U6 U6 spliceosomal RNA